UACGUAGGGUGCAAGCGUUGUCCGGAAUUAUUGGGCGUAAAGAGCUCGUAGGCGGUUCGUCACGUCGGCUGUGAAAACCUGAGGCUCAACCUCAGGCCUGCAGUCGAUACGGGCGGACUUGAGUACUGCAGGGGAGACUGGAAUUCCUGGUGUAGCGGUGAAAUGCGCAGAUAUCAGGAGGAACACCGAUGGCGAAGGCAGGUCUCUGGGCAUUAACUGACGCUGAGGAGCGAAAGCAUGGGGAGCGAACAGG
rnacentral:rRNA from 1 species